rnacentral:rRNA from 1 species
GAUGAACGCUGGCGGCGUGCCUAAUACAUGCAAGUCGAGCGAACGGACGAGAAGCUUGCUUCUCUGAUGUUAGCGGCGGACGGGUGAGUAACACGUGGAUAACCUACCUAUAAGACUGGGAUAACUUCGGGAAACCGUAGCUAAUACCGGAUAAUAUUUUGAACCGCAUGGUUCAAAAGUGAAAGACGGUCUUGCUGUCACUUAUAGAUGGAUCCGCGCUGCAUUAGCUAGUUGGUAAGGUAACGGCUUACCAAGGCAACGAUGCAUAGCCGACCUGAGAGGGUGAUCGGCCACACUGGAACUGAGACACGGUCCAGACUCCUACGGGAGGCAGCAGUAGGGAAUCCUCCGCAAUGGGCGAAAGCCUGACGGAGCAACGCCGCGUGAGUGAUGAAGGUCUUCGGAUCGUAAAACUCUGUUAUUAGGGAAGAACAUAUGCGUAAGUAACUGUGCACAUCUUGACGGUACCUAAUCAGAAAGCCACGGCUAACUACGUG